GAUGAACGCUAGCUACAGGCUUAACACAUGCAAGUCGAGGGGAAACGACAUCGAAAGCUUGCUUUUGAUGGGCGUCGACCUGCGCACGGGUGAGUAACGCGUAUCCAACCUGCCCAUCACUUGGGGAUAACCUUGCGAAAGUAAGACUAAUACCCAAUGAUAUCUCUAGAAGACAUCUGAAAGAGAUUAAAGAUUUAUCGGUGAUGGAUGGGGAUGCGUCUGAUUAGCUUGUUGGCGGGGUAACGGCCCACCAAGGCAACGAUCAGUAGGGGUUCUGAGAGGAAGGUCCCCCACAUUGGAACUGAGACACGGUCCAAACUCCUACGGGAGGCAGCAGUGAGGAAUAUUGGUCAAUGGGCGAGAGCCUGAACCAGCCAAGUAGCGUGCAGGAAGACGGCCCUAUGGGUUGUAAACUGCUUUUAUAAGGGAAUAAAGUGAGAGUCGUGACUCUUUUUGUAUGUACCUUAUGAAUAAGAACCGGCUAAUUCCGUG
rnacentral:rRNA from 1 species